rnacentral:lncRNA from 1 species
AUGACCACAAAACGGUUCGGUCGCCUUGAGCAGAUCCUCCUCCUCCUUCCUCCCCUCAACCUCAAGGAAGAUGGGAAGUCGCCGCCAUCGAGCUGCAUAGCGCGAGUCAAUCUUGUAUGCUGCUUGGUAGUAUUACAGAACGCAGCAAUUAAGAAGAGGGUCAUCAAGUGCAAGAGGCACCAACACAUGGAAGAUGGCAAGGGCAUGCAUGCAUUUUCUAGCUGCACCCAUCAGGCUAGAGAGGAGGCUCAAGCCUUGAUCUGUGUGGCUCAAGAGAGAUUGAAAAAGAAAGAGGUAGAAGAUAGGUUACCAAGUGCAAUUGAAAUAGAUGGCUGUGUGUCACCCCCAAAAAAUGCUAGGGGCAAAGAGCUGUGUGCAAAUGGGGGUGACAAACAGCAACAAUACAGUUGUAUCAUGAUGAAUAUUCUGUUUUGGAAUGUGAGGGGUUUGGGGAAUCCUGGUAGAAGAGAGCAGUUGACAGAAAUAUUAAGGAAGAAUAAAGUAGAGGUGGUUUGUUUGCAAGAAACAAUUAGAGUGAGUUUUGCAGCCAAUGAAUUGGAUAGAUUCUGUGGGGGGAGGGACUUUCACUGGUUAACUAAACCGGCUGAGGGUCAUUCUGGGAGUUUGUUAAUGGGGGUUAACUUGGAGUUGGUGGAUGUAGUGGAAGUUGACCUAGGGGAGUUUUUCAUAAGUAUGUUGGUAGAAUCAAAAAGAGAGAAGAAAAGAUGGAGGAUUGUUAAUGUAUAUGGGCCAGUUCAAACAGAUAAGAAAGAUAGAUUUCUCCAUGAAUUGACUGAGAUGGUGCUGGUGGAGCAAGAGGCUGUAAUGAUAGGGGGAGACUACAAUUUAGUAAGAAGUGCUGAGGAAAAGUCUAAUAGUAUAAUCAACAAGAGAUGGGCUGCCAAAUUUAAUGCUUUUAUUUCUACUGCUGAAUUAAGAGAGUUACAUAGAGGGGGAGGCAAAUAUACCUGGACAAACAAACAAACAAAUCCAGUGAGGGAAGUUCUAGAUAGGGUUUUGGUGUCUGCUUCCUGGGAUAAUCUGGACCCCUUCACUGUUGUUGGCGGUAUGGCAUGAGGCCCUUCGA